rnacentral:tRNA from 2 species
GCCCGGUUGGCGGAAUUGGUAGACGCGCUAGACUCAAACUCUAGUAUCUCACGAUGUGCCGGUUCGAUUCCGGCACCGGGUA